GAAAACUGAUUCAUAUGUUGAAUUGACUACCAUCCAACCAACCAAUAGGAAAUCACAGCAGUCUUUGUUGGUAGGAAGCAUAAAAAGAAAAGGGAAAUCCACAGACGUGGCCACUCAAUCAGAAAAUAAGAAACUAUGCACAGAAGAUUAUGUGGAUAAAGAGCAAGAGAAUGCAUACAAAGGCUUAGCUGCACUUGUAGACUAUGGAGAUGACUCAAGUAGUGAUGAAGUGUAACUAUGGAUAUACAAGUACAUUUGUCAUUAUAUAAAUAGCAGUGUACUGUAGU